rnacentral:ribozyme from 12 species
AGUUCAGUGUAUUUAUUUAUUAUGUAAUAGCUUAUCUGGUUCUUUCCGUUUAAGACAAAGAAAAAAAAAAUUGCAACCGUCUUGUGAUAAAUCAAUCCAAAUUAUCAUCCUCAUAUAAUUCUAUGU